GUUGAAGGUCCUCGAGGAUUUUGCAGCCGACUCCAUGACUUUAGUAGGCAAUGGCUGAGAUUGGAAAAGCACACCAAAGCUCAGUUGCUGGACCUGGUUUUCUGGAGCAGUUCCUGGCUCUUCUGCCCCCAGAGAUGGAGAGCUGGGUACGGGAGUGUGGAGCAGAGACCAGUUCCCAGGCAGUGGCCCUGGUGGAAGGCUUCUUCCUGAGCCAGGCGGAGGAGCAGAAGGAGCAGGUCGAGUUGCAGAAGUCCUGGCCCCGUGGAGGUCAGAGAUCCUGAGGGAAAGAAGAAUCCAUCAAAUCCCCCUCAGGAGCUAUUUUUUCAGGAGGAUCCCUUGGGAAGAUCACGAUGCCUCAGGAG